AAAAAAAAUCUCACAUUCUCUCCCCAGUAACACACUUCACGUCUCUGUAAGCCCUUCCCUUCACCGUCGAACUUUUCCGUCGCAAGGCCAGCCACCGCACCGCCACCGCACCGCUGCUACCUCCGGUGACAACCGCAUCCACCGACCUUCCCUUUGAGUCUGACAAAGUGACCUUCUACUAACAAUAAGGAAACUAAAAAAAUUCAAAGUGUUUGUAAGAAUGGAUUCAAACAACAAGCAGAUUGAUGAAAAACUACAAGUCAAGCCAGCACAAAAAGUUACAUUCUGUCAAAGAAAUAAGUCUGGGAACGGGAGUUUUGUGUCGAAAUUAAGAGACCACUUUCAUGAAUUUAUCAAUGCAUCUGCUGAUGAACACAAGAGAUGCUUGAGAAACACCAUUCAAAAGAUAGUAAAUGCAUCAAAGGGUUUUGGAAAAAACAGCGAAAGCACAAAGGAAGGUGAAAACGAAAACUCGGUACAACUUCAUUCAUCUACAAGGAACUAGAUGUGUCAAAAAAAAUCUACAAGGAACUAGAUGUUUUUCUGAAUCAUCAGUGGAUGAGAUGAGUGUUUUGUAAGUUUAUAUUAUAUACUAGAAACCUUAGAAGUUAGAACAAAUGAUUAUACUAAAUUGUCGUUAAUGUAUUCAAUUGUUCACACCACUUAAUGAGUAAUAUUCAAGUGGGAUUUUACACUUUCUUGUGAUUAUCAUUGAGUUUGUAUUUGUAGUUAGCAUUGUAAACUUAUUUGACAUUAACUUUCUUCUUCGGUUGUAGAACUUUAGUCCUCUUAUGAAUUGAUUGAAAUUAAUAUUCAAUUUUG